rnacentral:tRNA from 1 species
GUUAUUUUGGCAGAAUAGUGCGAUAGAUUUAGAAUCUUUAAAUAUGUAGUAAUACAUAAAUAAUA